GAUGAACGCUGGCGGCGUGCCUAAUACAUGCAAGUCGAGCGAACGGACGAGAAGCUUGCUUCUCUGAUGUUAGCGGCGGACGGGUGAGUAACACGUGGAUAACCUACCUAUAAGACUGGGAUAACUUCGGGAAACCGGAGCUAAUACCGGAUAAUAUUUUGAACCGCAUGGUUCAAAAGUGAAAGACGGUCUUGCUGUCACUUAUAGAUGGAUCCGCGCUGCAUUAGCUAGUUGGUAAGGUAACGGCUUACCAAGGCAACGAUGCAUAGCCGACCUGAGAGGGUGAUCGGCCACACUGGAACUGAGACACGGUCCAGACUCCUACGGGAGGCAGCAGUAGGGAAUCUUCCGCAAUGGGCGAAAGCCUGACGGAGCAACGCCGCGUGAGUGAUGAAGGUCUUCGGAUCGUAAAACUCUGUUAUUAGGGAAGAACAUAUGUGUAAGUAACUGUGCACAUCUUGACGGUACCUAAUCAGAAAGCCACGGCUAACUACGUGCCAGCAGCCGCGGUAAUACGUAGGUGGCAAGCGUUAUCCGGAAUUAUUGGGCGUAAAGCGCGCGUAGGCGGUUUUUUAAGUCUGAUGUGAAAGCCCACGGCUCAACCGUGGAGGGUCAUUGGAAACUGGAAAACUUGAGUGCGGAAGAGGAAAGUGGAAUUCCAUGUGUAGCGGUGAAAUGCGCAGAGAUAUGGAGGAACACCAGUGGCGAAGGCGACUUUCUGGUCUGUAACUGACGCUGAUGUGCGAAAGCGUGGGGAUCAAACAGGAUUAGAUACCCUGGUAGUCCACGCCGUAAACGAUGAGUGCUAAGUGUUAGGGGGUUUCCGCCCCUUAGUGCUGCAGCUAACGCAUUAAGCACUCCGCCUGGGGAGUACGACCGCAAGGUUGAAACUCAAAGGAAUUGACGGGGACCCGCACAAGCGGUGGAGCAUGUGGUUUAAUUCGAAGCAACGCGAAGAACCUUACCAAAUCUUGACAUCAUUUGACAACUCUAGAGAUAGAGCCUUCCCCUUCGGGGGACAAAGUGACAGGUGGUGCAUGGUUGUCGUCAGCUCGUGUCGUGAGAUGUUGGGUUAAGUCCCGCAACGAGCGCAACCCUUAAGCUUAGUUGCCAUCAUUAAGUUGGGCACUCUAAGUUGACUGCCGGUGACAAACCGGAGGAAGGUGGGGAUGACGUCAAAUCAUCAUGCCCCUUAUGAUUUGGGCUACACACGUGCUACAAUGGACAAUACAAAGGGCAGCGAAACCGCGAGGUCAAGCAAAUCCCAUAAAGUUGUUCUCAGUUCGGAUUGUAGUCUGCAACUCGACUACAUGAAGCUGGAAUCGCUAGUAAUCGUAGAUCAGCAUGCUACGGUGAAUACGUUCCCGGGUCU
rnacentral:rRNA from 1 species